AUUGUCCUUUCUAUAGUUGAGAAACCAAGGCAGUAUCAUGAGCAGGAAGAAACACCUGAGAUGAUGGCAGCCCGCAUUGACAGAGAUGUGCAAAUCUUAAACCACAUUUUGGAUGACAUUGAAUUUUUUAUCACAAAACUCCAAAAAGCAGCAGAAGCAUUUUCUGAGCUUUCUAAAAGGAAGAAAAACAAGAAAGGUAAAAGGAAAGGACCAGGAGAGGGUGUUUUAACGCUGCGGGCAAAACCUCCACCUCCUGAUGAAUUUCUUGACUGUUUCCAAAAGUUUAAACAUGGAUUUAACCUUCUGGCCAAACUGAAGUCUCAUAUUCAGAAUCCUAGUGCUGCAGAUUUGGUUCACUUUUUGUUUACUCCAUUAAAUAUGGUGAGAUUUUAUUAGUUUAAGAAAAAAUCGUUCUUAGUAUAUUUUUUAACCCCAAGUGUCUGUCUGGAUUUUCUAGACUGCUUUUCUUCAUUACCUUGCAUGGGUACUAUUUCUUUGCCAUUUGUGUAAAUAUCAAGAAUGUAAAAUUUGAGAAUUGAAAAGAACCUUAUAAAUCAUCUAGUUUA
rnacentral:sRNA from 1 species